rnacentral:rRNA from 1 species
GCCUGGGGAGUACGGCCGCAAGGUUAAAACUCAAAUGAAUUGACGGGGGCCCGCACAAGCGGUGGAGCAUGUGGUUUAAUUCGAUGCAACGCGAAGAACCUUACCUGGUCUUGACAUCCACGGAAGUUUUCAGAGAUGAGAAUGUGCCUUCGGGAACCGUGAGACAGGUGCUGCAUGGCUGUCGUCAGCUCGUGUUGUGAAAUGUUGGGUUAAGUCCCGCAACGAGCGCAACCCUUAUCCUUUGUUGCCAGCGGUCCGGCCGGGAACUCAAAGGAGACUGCCAGUGAUAAACUGGAGGAAGGUGGGGAUGACGUCAAGUCAUCAUGGCCCUUACGACCAGGGCUACACACGUGCUACAAUGGCGCAUACAAAGAGAAGCGACCUCGCGAGAGCAAGCGGACCUCAUAAAGUGCGUCGUAGUCCGGAUUGGAGUCUGCAACUCGACUCCAUGAAGUCGGAAUCGC